UACGUAGGGUGCGAGCGUUUGUCCGGAAUUAUUGGGCGUAAAGAGCUCGUAGGCGGUGUGUCGCGUCGGCCGUGAAAACCUGCAGCUUAACUGUGGGCUUGCGGUCGAUACGGGCAUCACUGGAGUUCGGCAGGGGAGACUGGAAUUCCUGGUGUAGCGGUGAAAUGCGCAGAUAUCAGGAGGAACACCGGUGGCGAAGGCGGGUCUCUGGGCCGAUACUGACGCUGGAGGAAGCGAAAGCGUUGGGAGCGAACAGG
rnacentral:rRNA from 1 species